UACGUAGGGGGCAAGCGUUGUCCGGAAUUAUUGGGCGUAAAGGGCGCGCAGGCGGCCUCUUAAGUCAGUUGUGAAAGGUCCCGGCUCAACCGGGGAGUUGCAGCUGAAACUGGGGGGCUUGAGUGCAGGAGAGGAGAGUGGAAUUCUCGGUGUAGCGGUGGAAUGCGUAGAGAUCGGGAGGAACACCAGUGGCGAAGGCGGCUCUCUGGCCUGUUACUGACGCUGAGGCGCGAAAGCGUGGGGAGCGAACAGG
rnacentral:rRNA from 1 species